AGAAAAUUUAGGCUCGGAAAGAAUGGUUGAAGGACACACAGCUGGCAGGUGGAGCUCAUUUCACCUCUGGCCCCGAAGGCGGCAUGUGACCCAGUUCUGACCAAUCAAAGCUUCAUAUUCCCCUAGUGCACAGAUGGAUAAUGACAAGCCACCCGGACUCCAUGUUUUUUUUUUUUUUUUGCUGAGACUUCUGAGCUAGACCUUGACGUAGUGACUUCUCAAUCGGGAGACAAGCUUGGAAACCUGUUCUGCUGACUCCGUGUGUAUUAGUAAGCAUCAGCCAGGACUCAAG